rnacentral:rRNA from 1 species
UGGUGUUUUGAGAUGUCUGGUUAAAUCCGAUAACGAACGAGACCUCAGCUUUUUACACACUUGUUAAUUUAAUGAAUAUGUCAGGAUUACAACCUCUGGGUCGCCUGUUGGUGUGCUCUCGGGGUAACUCGGGGGCGCCCAAGGCCGCACCAUGAAUAACAGUGAUAACUGGGACGCUUUUGUGGACCCAAUGACUCAAGUCUGUGAAAGUGGGAAAUGUGGUCACCCAGGACCGUAG